ACAGGGAAAAGAACUGGGAAACAGUUUGUUGACUGAGGAGCUGAAGUAUUAAGUACAGAGCCACAUAUAUACUUAAAGACCCUGUGGAAAAAAAUUAAUGAACAAAAAAGAAUUGGAAGAAGAUCAUAAGCCACCGCUUAACCUCAAAGAAAACCAUAGAGGCUCUGACUUUCCAGAUGUAGAGCCCAUCGAUUCUAAUACUACCAACCCAUCUUUGCCCCAUCCUCACACAGUUGCGCUGGAGGGCAGAGAAGGCAGCACCCCAGUAGCAUGUGUACCAUGUCAGGAAAAGCAACGAGCCCAGCUAUGGGAGCACAUGGCCAUCAGCAAGAGAGACGCUGCCUCACGGACGCACCUGAGUGCUGCCUCUCCACCACAGCCACCCAGAGACUCACAAGCUGGAAGCACUCGCUCACUCCAGGAUUCAACUCUAAACUGGACAUUUCCUAGCUGAAAUAAUCACAAAACUGCAACAACAGAGCAAAAGAGAGUUUGUACCAAUAGAAUGCACAGGAAAAGGUUUUGCUGUGCUUAGCAGCUUCCGAUGUGAGGCAUCAAAAUAUGGGUUGCAGAUGGAAGAGGACACAGGGAGGUGUGAGCACCGUUCUGAUGACUCAGACCUGACUUGCUCAGGAGAGCCAGCCUGAUCGGGUCCACUUUCUUGAGGUUUGACGUCCAAUCCACCUCACUGGGUUCCAACAGAUCUCCACUUUUGGAGGAAGGAUCUUCACUCGAUCUAAGCCUAUUCCUCGGACGGGGCUGGGCUGGCUUGAAUAAUUGUGGUGCUCAUCUCAUUGGUGGUAUCACUCUGAGUGUGACAAAAUUUUAAAAAUAAUCAGAUAAACUGAAUACAACAAAUUCAAGCCAUGCUGGUAUAAACUUAGGUAAAUGUAAUAAAGGAAUCUACACGGGUUA
rnacentral:lncRNA from 1 species